UGUUUUUUUUGAUUGGUGUGUGUUUGUUUGAUUCCACCUUUUUUUUAAAUAAAAUGUUAGAAAGGAUAGAGAGAUGAUCAUUGAUUCAUUUGGGGUUUUAGAGAUCUGUUCAGAUAUAGUUUUGCUUGUUGUUCUGUAACUUGACAUUUUCCAUUUUGUGGUUCAAAUAAACAAGUUUUUUUAUGCUUCUUCUUCUUUUCCAAUCUGUGGAUUUAAUGGUCGUUAGGGGAGAGCUCCUCUCACAUGUUUAGGCUCUCACAUGACACAAAAGUUAGUUCUUUUUCCCUGGAUUAUGUGGAGGAAAUUGCUAUUUCACUAUAUGGAUUAUGGUCAUUUAAGCAAAAUGUUUGAAGAGUGAGAAUCAAUCACGUCCCAGGGACCGUUGUAAAGCUUUUGAUUGUACGUUUGCAGAUGGUUUUUAAUUUUCAUGGGUGUGACUGUGAGGUAAAUGAAGACCUCUGCAGCUUGUCAUUCUUAUCAGCAUAUACCCUUGGAGUAUGAGCUUUAUUUCAUGAAGACCCUGGCUUCUCUGUCCGUUGGGCUGAGUUGGGUUACCAUCUGACUUGGAGGGUCAGGUAGUUUGUCUAUUGUCGCUUUGGGAGUUCUUGGAUGUGAAGCUGUUGUGAAACAUGCUGUUGACACCGGCACAACACCAGUUUCGAUGGAUGAAAUGUAUGCCUAAUGACAGAAACAAAGACACUCAAUCGCCCUGGUGUCCCCUUGAUUCUUCAAGUUGAAGUGGAACCACCCUAUCUCCACCGUAGCUCGUUUGUGGUACACCACAGUCUUGUUCUUGUUGAUUGUAUUGACCUGUGAAUUGGUAGUCCAUACUUGAGUUGUGAUCCGCAAGGGAAUAACCAAGACACCACCUCCUUGGCAUCCUCAUUAGCCUCCUUACUUGUCUCUUCAUCCACCACUGGCAUCUUCUCUUGAUCGUCCA